CAGUAGCCGCGGUAAUCCGUAGGUCCCGAGCGUUGUCCGGAUUUAUUGGGCGUAAAGCGAGCGCAGGCGGUUAGAUAAGUCUGAAGUUAAAGGCAGUGGCUCAACCAUUGUAGGCUUUGGAAACUGUUUAACUUGAGUGCAGAAGGGGAGAGUGGAAUUCCAUGUGUAGCGGUGAAAUGCGUAGAUAUAUGGAGGAACACCGGUGGCGAAAGCGGCUCUCUGGUCUGUAACUGACGCUGAGGCUCGAAAGCGUGGGGAGCGAACAGGAUUAGAGACCCGCGUAGUCCCUGUCUCUUAUACA
rnacentral:rRNA from 1 species